AGGAGAACUCACUAAUCCCUAACUAACUUUAAAAAUAAAUUAAAUUAAAUUGCGAUCCACCUUUGAUUGUUAAUUAGCUGCACCCCCUUCACCCGAGACAUUAUCGCCUGUGCUUUACAGACAUGUCUCUUCUUUCCCGGCCCUCCCCCUCUCUCUCUAAGCUUGUCCAUCCCUAGCUCUCUCUCUCUAUCUCCUUCGAUCCACUGUGCAUGCAACACUGCCUUUUAUGAUCAAUACCGUGCAUCUUUCCCUGGAUAUAGCUCUGCUUUUGCGUCCUCGGGUGCGACCCACUACGUGAGCUACUGCACCCACUGCCGAUCCACUGUGCGUGAGCUGCUAUCUAUCCCCUCGCUAUUGCCCUCGCACAAGCUGCUGCCCCUGCUGCACAGUACAUGCCACUUCCACAUUGCCUUGGUGCAGCGAGCUGCUGCCCUUGCCCCUGCUACACAAGUAGCCAUUGGGACCGCCUCCCGAUCCCUUAGCUACUACCCUCUACUCCCGCACACAACUACUUCACUAGCUAUUGCCCUCUGCCCUCGCACACAGCUACUACCCUUUAGAGGGCAAAUCUGCCUCCGCAGAGCAUCGACCUUCUGCCUGCACACAGUACCGGCGACCGCCUCCCAAUCCCCUCUAGUCUAGAUCUAAUUUCUAUCCUCCCGAGCUCCCUCUUGGAGUUGACUUCCCCAAUCUUGAUCGAUCCGGCUAUAUAUCACAGGUUCGUGGAUUGCAUUUUGGAGCGUUCUCCUAUAUUGAGCUUACGACGAGGUUGAGGUAUGCUCGAAUUUCGAUAAAUAUAUUUAAAAUGCAAAUCAAGUACUGAUUGUUGAUGACUUUAAGUUAGUCGCCUUUAUGAAUUAAAUAAGGGGUUUUUACCUAAAAUGGCAUAUGGUUUGUCCGUUUUGUCAAAUCUAUCAUAUGCUUUUUUUUUGUCAAAUCUAUCCCAUGGUUUACUUUUUGCAUCAAAUCUAUCCCGACGUUAUAUUUUCUGUUAACAUCCAACGGCCGUGCUGACGUGGCACGUGGAGAGAUAGUGGGCCACACUUGCCACGUAGGCGCCACGUCAGCACGGCCGUUAGAUGUCGACGGAAAAGAUAACGCCGGGAUAGAUUUGACAAAAAAAAAGCAUAUGAUAAAUUUGAUAAAACGGACAAACCAUGGGCCAUUUUAGGUAAAUACCCCAUUAAAUAAUUGUGGAGAAGGAGGAUGGGCUUUGGGGAAAUGUUGUAUCUUCUCAUUGUGGAUUUGGUUAUUCCUUAUUAAUUGCUACAAAGUAAUAAUGAUGCUAUCAUUCCUAAA